UAGGUGAGAGGCAGGAUCAGACAGGCAAUCAUCAACAACAUACUCUGAAUUUAAGAAUGACCACCACACAGUAAGAGAACUGGAAUUUGGAGGAAAACUUCAGCUCUGAGAACUUUCACACAGAAAACUAACAAAGAAAUUCUGGACUUAAACUUGACACUUGCCCAGUUGGUCUUAAUAGACAUCUAAAGAAUACUCCACCCAACAACUACAGAAUAUAUAUUCGUCUCAUCUGCAGACACAACAUACUUUAAAAAUGACUGCAUGUUUGGUCAGAGAGUCUCAACAAAUUUGGAAAAAUUAAAAUUAUACCCAACAUAUUCUCAGGUCGAAUGAAAUGCAAAUAGAAAUUACUGCCAAGAGGAAUUCUCAAAACCACACAAAUACGUGGAAAUUAAACACAUUGAUCCUGAAUGACCUUUGUAAAGCAAGAAAAUUAAGGCAAAAAUCAAAAAAUUAUUUGAAAAAAACAAAAAUUGUGACACAGUGUAACAAAACCUGUGAUAUUGCAAAAGAAGUGAUAAGAUUUGUAGCACUAAAUGCCUACAUCAAGAAAAUAGAAAUAUCUUGUUAACAACCUAACAUUACACCUAAAGAAAUAGAGAAAGAAGAACUAAAUUCUAAAUGAAGAACCCAGUUCUAGCAGAAGAAAAGAAAGAAUUAAAAUCAGAACAGAACUAAGUGAAAUUGAGAUAAAGAAAACUAUUCAAAGGAUCAACAAAAUGAAAAGUUUGUUUUUUGAAAGGAUAAACAAAAUUGAUAGACUGCUAGAUAAACAAAGGAAAAAAAGAAGAUCCAAAUAAGCACAAUCAGAUAUGACAAAGGUAACAUUACAACUGAUCUCGCAGAAAUAUAAAAGAUCCUCAGAGAUUACUAUGAACAUCUCUAUGCACACAACUAGAAAAUCUAGAGGAAAUAGAUAAAUUCCUGGAAAUAUACAACCUCCCAAGAUUGAAUCUGGAAGAAAAAGACACCCUAAAGAGACCAGUAAUGAGUUACAAAAUUGAAUAAGUAAUAAUAAAAAACUUACUAACCAGAAAAGCACCGGACCAGAUGGAUUUACAGCCAAAUUAUACCAGAUGUACAAAGAAGUGUUAUAAACUAAAUUGGUAUUCCUGAAAAUUUACAUGUUGAAGCCACAGCCUCCAAUGUGAC
rnacentral:lncRNA from 1 species